UACGGGAGGCAGCAGUGGGGAAUCUUGCACAAUGGAGGAAACUCUGAUCCAGCAAUACCGCGUGUGUGAAGAAGGCCUGAGGGUUGUAAAGCACUUUCGUCGGGGAAGAAAAUGACUGUACCCGAAUAAGAAGGUCCGGCUAACUUCGUGCCAGCAGCCGCGGUAAU
rnacentral:rRNA from 1 species